AUUAAGAAAGAAUAAGGUGAAACUGAGAAAAAUUGUAUCUUUUCAAUCUAAUGCAAAUGAAACAUAAGAGUUGUAUAUAUGUUUGGUAAUCUUCCAUCACUUGUAUUAUUUCCGCCAAUCUCAAAAUAGAUACGUAACGUUGAGAAAUGUAAGCUUAAUGAAGAUUUGACAAGUAUUUGACAAGAAAUGAAGAUGGUGUGUCAAUGGCACCUCUUUCCCUCAUGUUCCAGGAUAAGGUUUUCAUUGAGAGCUGAUGUUGUUUUUCAUCUCAAAGCCUGAUGUCUUCAAAAGCCCAAAGUCUGAGACGUAUAUUAUAUUUGGAGAGGUGAAGAUACAAGGCUAAAGCUCUCAGUUGCAAACAAGGAUUUUGGUGACAUAGUCAGUGCUAUCAAGCUGGUAAUGACACAAGCAGGGGUAUUAAGAAACAAGGCCAUCGCUGCUCUCACGACCCAUGAUGGUGACAUAGUCAGUGCUAUAAUGGAGCUCACUGCCCAGGUGAGAUUUUGGUCAUUUCGGAAACAAUUGGUCACUUGGGAUGAGUUUUUAAUGUAUGAACCACCUAUUAUUGAUUUUCAGUUCUUAUUGCAUGGCACAGUUUUCUGGUUUUGUUGGAUUUCAGUCAUUUCCAUAUCAAGAAUGCUUAGUGAUGCACCUAGGUUUUGUUACAUGUUACUUCCGAAUGCUCACAUUCUUGAGUCAAUUGUGCUGGUGCCUGGUAAUUAAUAUCACGGACUCUUAGAACAGAGAUUACGGCUCAUAUUCACAAAAUGUUUUUGCUUGCUCUUUAAAUCAGAUGACCGUGUUUUGUGAUGAUGAAAAGCAAAUAUUUGAUGAUAGAACAAUAAUUGAAGAUGUACAAUUUGGAUGAUAAAAUUACUUUGAACUCACAAUUUUUAGUAAGCAUAUAGUAUGUAAUAUGUGACAAUACUUAGUCUCCAUUUAGGAUACUUAGUCUCCAAUUAAGAUACACACGCAUCUGUCCAGGCCCCUUCGAAGCUCUAGGCAAGACAGUCGAACUUAUAAAAGUACAGUGGGAAUUGCUUAUAUGGAUCCCUCUUAAAACAUGAGAAAAUAUUAAACAGAAGACCAGGUACUCUCUCAAUUAAUGACCCUACAAUUUGUUCUAAUUUCCCCUGUGGCAGAGCCAGUGAGUACACCAAUCUGGCCCAUCCUCACCAUUGCAGCAGCAAACUUGCUUCUCCAGAGCGUGGGGUUCAUUGCAUUUUGAGCAACUUGUUUAGCUGUUGCUGCAUUUGUCAAGAGGGUUUGGUCUGAGGUAUGCAACCCUCGAUUAGCAAGAACAUCUGUGUAGUAAUCUACAUCAGUUGUUGCAGGGCUGGAAGGGUUUAUUGGUACCACCAAAUUAGCAUUUGUACUUCCCUCUGGACAUUGCUGCUUUAGCCGCCCUGCAUAUGACAAAUCUAGGCUCGGGUCCUGCACUGUUGUCGUGUUGUAACUGUACAGUCUGUUACUGAACGAAGGGCAAUGAGAGCGACCAAUGGUGUGUGCACCUAUGAUUCAUGAAACCUUAGUAUAUAUCUAAUGUUUUCCACCAUCUCUUUGUAAAAAUUGAUCAUGCCUAGCUAUUCAAUGCGAAAAUGCUUACCAGAUAAUGUAACCAUUUCUUGUUGUGUUAGUCCUUUGUUUGCAAAGGACUGAGUGAGUUGGUCGACGUCACUUGUUGGGGGCGGUAGGUUAGCAGAUGCCUCUGAAGCUCUUGAAAUUCUGCCAUCCUUUCUCCCAGCUGGUACAUCAUAGCCAAGUCCUCCCGUCUAUAAAAGUUUUAGAUUAUGUA